GAGUGUUAUUAUCUUCCUAUGGAUUUGAGUCACCUUCUUUAAAAACUAUCUUUCUACCCACAAAAUCCUUCUUUUUUCUCGCACAUAUUUUUCUUCAAUUACAUAGGUGUCCGGAGCUCUUCAGGAGAAAGAGGAAAUAACCAAGUGGUUUCAUGGCAGCCUAUAAAGUCUCCGUCAGACGCAUUGUGAUGCCAUUAUUAAUCUUGAACUAGAGCUCCACCUUUUGUAUGUCCAUUCCAUUGGCUCCCAAGAUCCAAGAGGAUGGGGAGGCAGCCAGAGAGCCAGAGCCCAGGACAAAAAUGGGAUUGAGAGAAAGAUCCAUUGACCAGCAUGUGAAAAGUCUCUGUACUCAAGUCCAAAUGGAUUUCAAAUUCAGUGUUAAAAUCUCUUCCAGAGUAAAACUGAAACAUUGAGAAAGUAAACA